GCCCGACUAGCUCAUCGGUAGAGCGCCUCACUAGUAAUUCUUCAUUCGGAGUGGAGAUUACAUUGAAAUGAGGAGGCAACAGGUUCGAUUCCUGUGUUGGGCA